ACGAACGCUGGCGGCGUGCUUAACCCCUGCCAGUCGAACGGAAAGGCCCCUUUGGGGGUACUCGAGUGGCGACCGGGUGAGUAACACGUGAGUAACCUGCCCUUGACUUCGGGAUAACUUCAGGAAACUGGGGCUAAUACCGGAUAGGAAUCCUUGCUGCAUGGUGGGGGUUGGAAAGCUUCGGCGGUUUUGGAUGGACUCGCGGCUUAUCAGCUUGUUGGUGGGGUAGUGGCUUACCAAGGCUUUGACGGGUAGCCGGCCUGAGAGGGCGACCGGCCACAUUGGGACUGAGAUACGGCCCAGACUCCUACGGGAGGCAGCAGUGGGGAAUAUUGCACAAUGGGCGGAAGCCUGAUGCAGCAACGCCGCGUGCGGGAUGACGGCCUUCGGGUUGUAAACCGCUUUCAGCAGGGGCGAAGCUUGUGGUGACGGUACCUGCAGAAGAAGCACCGGCUAACUACGUG
rnacentral:rRNA from 1 species